AACUCGGUGUCUGAGAGGUUUUGUCUGCGGCUCGUCCUGCUACAAUCCCAGCACUUUGGGAGGCCAAGCCAGGCGGAUCAAGAGGUCAGGAGUUCGAGAUAGCCUGACCAGCAUGGUGAAACACUGUCUCUACUAAAAAUACAACAAUUAACUGGGCAUAGUGUCACGCAUCUGUAAUCCCACCUACUCGGGAGGUUGAGGCAGGAGAAUCACUUGACCCUGGGAGGUGAAGGUUGCAAUGAGCCGAGAUUGCGUCACUGCACUCUAGCCUGGGCGACAGAGCGAGACUCCGUUUCAAAAACAACAGCAAUAACAACAACAAAACAUAGAUAUGCAAUGGCAUGGAGACAAGGCAAGGGACUGCUUUAAUUAAGACACUUGGGAGGCAUAGCAACCAAGUAUCACGCAUGGCUCUUGUUUUGAAUCCAGAUUCCCAUAAAUCAACUGUAAGAAGAUACUUUUUUACCUUGGUAAAAGAUAACCCAUGCCACCUGCCCAGGUCUUAUAGAGUCUCAUAUUCUCCACUGCUAAGUGUUUAAUUUGCAGUAGGACUCUGAUUCAGAAUAACGUGCAGCUGACUCUUGAGCAACAGGAGCUUGAACUACACAGGUCCACUUAUCCACAGAUUUUCUUCCGUCUCUGCCACCACUGAGACAGCAAGACCAACCCUCCCUUUCCCCCUCAGCCUGCUCAAUGUGAAGAUGACAACCAGGAUGAAGGCCUUUAUGAUGAUCCACUUCUUUAAUGAAUUGUAAAUAUAGUUUAUCUUAUGAUUUGCUUCCUUUUUUUUGAGACACAGUCUCGCUCUGUUGCCCAGGCUGGAGUGCAGUGGUGCCAUCUCAGCUCACUGCAACCUCCGCCUCCCAGGUUCAAGCGUUUCUCCUGCCUCAGCCUCCCA
rnacentral:lncRNA from 10 species